ensembl:lncRNA
CGAAAAUAACGGAAAUAACCUCCACAGAGACAGAAACAUAAAGAACAAAAUUAGGUGACAGGUCAAGAACAAGAACGGAAAUAACAGAAAAAAACGAAAUAAUGGAAAUAGUAACGGAAAUAACGGAAAUCAUAACAGAAAUAACGGAAAUAAUGAGAAUAACGGAAAUAACCUCCAGAGAGACAGAAACAUACGGCAGAGAAUUAAGAGACAGGUCAAGAACAACAACGGAAAUAAUAGAAAAAAACGAAAUAACGGAAAUCAUAAUGGAAAUAAUAAUGGAAAUAACGGAUCAUAACGGAAAUAACAGAAAUUAUAACGGAAAUAACGGAAAUAAUAACGGAAAUAAUGGAAAUAACGGAAAUAACCACCAGAGAGUCAGAAACAUACGGCUGAAAAUUAGGUGACAGACCAAGAACAACAACGGAAAUAACGGAAAUAACGGAAAAAACAGAAAUAGCGGAAAUAACCUCCAGAGAGACAGAAACGUACAGCAGAAUAUUAAGUGACAGGCCAAGAACAACAAUGGAAAUAACGGAAAUAACGGAAAUAAUGGAAAUAACGGAAAUAAACUCCACAGAGACAGAAACAUACUGCAGAAAAUUAAGUGACAGGUCAAGAACAACAACGGAAAUAACGAAAAUAUCGAUCAGAAUGGAAACAACAGAAAUAACGGAAAUAACGGAAAUAACGGAAAAAACUUCCACAGGGACAGAAACAUACGGCAGAAAAUUAGGUGACAGGUCAAGAACAACAACGGAAAUAACAGAAAAAAACGAAAUAACGGAAAUAAUAACGAAAAUAACAGAAAUAAUAACAGAAAUAAUAACGGAAAUAACAGAAAUAACAGAAAUAAUAACGGAAAUAACGGAAAUAAUAACGGAAAUAAUAACGUAAAUAAUGGAAAUAACGGAAACAACCUCCACAGAGACAGAAACAUAUAGCAGAAAAUGAAGUGACAAGUCAAGAACAACAACGGAAAUAACGGAAAGAACGGAAAUAAUAACGGAAAGAACGGAAAGAACCACUAGAGAGACAGAAACUUACGGCAGAAAGUUAGGUGACAGGUCAAGAACAAAAUGGAAAUAACAGAAAAAAACGAAAUAACGGAAAUAAUAAUGGAAAUAACGGAAAUAACGAAAAUACAAACGGAAAUAACGGAAAUAAUAACGGAAAUAACGGAAAGAACCUUCAGAGAGUCAGAAACAUACGGCAGAAAACUAGGUGUCAGGUCAAGAACAACAACGGAAAUAACAGAAAAUCCGAAAUAACAGAAAUCAUAACGGAAAUUACGGAAAUCAUAACGGAACUAACAGAAAUCAUAACGGAAAUAACAGAAAUAAUAACGGAAAUAAACUCCAGAGAGACAGAAACAUACGGCAGAAAAUUAGGUGACAGGCCAAAAACAACAUCGGUAAUAACGGAAAUAAAGGAAAUAACCUCCAGAGAGACAGAAACAUACGGCAGAAAAUUAGGUGACUGCCCAAAAACAACAACGGAAAUAACGAAAAUAACUGAAAUAAUGAAAAUAACGGAAGUAAGGAAAAUAACGGAAAUAACUGAAAUAAAGGAAAUAACCUCCACAGAGACAGAAACAUAUGGCAGAAAAGUAGGUGACAGGUCAAGAACAACAACGGAAAUAACGGAAAUAACAGAAAUAACGGAAAUAACCACCACAAAGUUGGAAACAUAUGGCAGAAAAUUAGGUGAAAGGUCAAGAACAACAACAAAAAUAACGGAAAUAACGGAAAUAACGGAAAUAACCUCCAGAGAGACAGAAAUACACAGCAGAAAGUUACGUGACAG